CCAGCGCCUCCCUGCAUCCCCGUCUCGGCAUUAAACCAAACGUGGACGCCCUUGAUAGACUUUUAAAGGGAAAGCAGGAAUCGUCCUUUACACUUCACCUGCUUUUUACAGCGCAGGGGCCUCUGACAUUUGUGUAAAAUCCACCCGCCAGGAACCGCAGGCUCAGAGCUCAGAAGCGCCCUGUCCUCUUCAGGAGCCCGGGGGCUGACGCCACUCCUUCGAGGGGGCCAAGGCUGAAAAAUCAGCUGGCAAAAGGCAGAUUAAUUGGAGAAAAGGCAUACACGUUUAUGUAACGUAUGUACACAGGAGCCUUCAGCAUAAAGAACGAACGUACAGGGGAACUUGUCCACUUUUAUGCUUCUGUCCAACAAAGUAUGGACGGCCGGGUAGAAUAUGAUCAGACAAGAAGGGUGUGAUCUAACGCUGAGACCGAGUGAGGACACCCAGCAAGGCCUGUCCGGCUAGAUUCUGCCUGGCCUCUCUGAGCACACAUUCCUUCCUUCUGGAAUGAGGGGGUCUUAUGACCAGCAGUCAAACAAGAAUGCAGAGAAGAGAUCCAAUUAAUUAAUCGAUCACUUCAGUUAUUGGGUUUCUGGUUUCAAGGU
rnacentral:lncRNA from 1 species